rnacentral:rRNA from 1 species
UACGUAGGGUGCGAGCGUUAAUCGGAAUUACUGGGCGUAAAGCGUGCGCAGGCGGUUUUGUAAGCCAGGUGUGAAAUCCCCGGGCUCAACCUGGGAAUGGCAUUCGGGACUGCAAGGCUGGAGUGCGGCAGAGGAGACUGGAAUUCCUGGCGUAGCAGUGAAAUGCGUAGAUAUCAGGAGGAACACCGAUGGCGAAGGCGGGUCUCUGGGCCGAUACUGACGCUGAGGAGCGAAAGCGUGGUGAGCGAACAGG